CGAAAGGAACGUUAAUACCGCAUAAAGUCCUUAGAGGCAUCUCCCUAGGACCCAAACUUCCGGGGCGGGAGGAGCAAUCUGCGUACUAUCAGCUAGUUGGUGAGGUAAUGGCUCACCAAGGCUACGACGGUUAACUGGUCUGAGAGGAUGAUCAGUCACACUGGAACUGAGACACGGUCCAGACUCCUACGGGAGGCAGCAGUGAGGAAUAUUGCGCAAUGGGCGAAAGCCUGACGCAGCGACGCCGCGUGGAGGAUGACGGAUUUCGGUCUGUAAACUCCUGUCAGUAGGGAAGAGAAUGGACGGUACCUACUGAGGAAGCUUCGGCUAACUACGUGCCAGCAGCCGCGGUAAGACGUAGGAAGCAAGCGUUGUCCGGAAUUACUGGGCGUAAAGAGCUCGUAGGCGGGAUCGUAAGUCUUAGAGUAAAUCUCAGAAGGCCCCCACG
rnacentral:rRNA from 1 species